UUGUAAUAUAUUCCUUUCCUUUACGACCAAAUUCAGUAUAAAUAACUGCCCUCUCUGGCUAGAAAAGAGACACGAGCAACUAUGAAAACUAAAUACUCGUUUUGCUUUAUGCUGCUGCUGGUUUUCGCUUUGGCGUCCCAAGAAUCAGAGGGUAGUCCAUGCGUUUCGGCGAGUUCAACGUUUAAUGGUCCAUGUGUGAACCACACAGCUCAAUGCCAGCAAGCAUGCGUCAAUGAGGGUUACACCGGCAGCUUUUGCGGAGGCUCCGACGGCAACCGUUGUUUCUGCACCAAAAGCUCAUGUCGUUAAGUUAUGGAAACUUUAUUGGAGAUAUACAUAUAGUAUGCUCACUUCUAUUAUGGUAAUAUAAACUUCCACCGACACCAUCACUUAAUUUCAUACCCGUUUGAGAAUGAAAUGAGUUUUAAUAAAAUGAUUGAGUAUAUUGUAAAUAGAAUAAGAGUUUCAUCUUUAUGAGAGUUAUAAAGUGUGAAUGAAAUUCAAUGUACCACAAUUUAUGUCUCACUCUGUGUCUCACUUUUAAUUUUAUUUAUUUUCUUAUAUAUUUUUUCUUCAAUUUCAACUUUGUAUGCUUUUGUUUAAUUUUGUGAUUAUUAACUAAGGUUUAUUCCAUCAAUUUAGGGUAUAUAAUUAUUUUUUAUCAUUUAAUUUUACUUUUAUUAGCUAAUAAUAGGUUGAUAAAUUUAAAGUCAUGGUAUAUACUUAAAAAAAUGAUAUAAAAAUCAAAUAUAAUUCAUAAUAUUAUACUCCCUCCGUCCCAGCUUUUUGUAUCCACUUUUAGUAGUAAAUAUUACUAAAAGUGGAUACAAAAAGCUGGGACGGAGGGAGUAAUAAAUUUUAUUUUUAUAAAAAGUAUUUUUAAAAUAAUAAAUAUAAGCAUGGGACACAGUAACACACAUAAAAUUAUUGAAUAUUGAAUCUUAUUCCUAUAAAGUGAUUAAAGUGAAGUACGUGAAGUAAUUUUACUAAAUAGAAAGUGACAUGAAAUUGACAAACAGACUAAAACUACAAAAAGGACAUGACAUUGGAGCCUUGAUUUUUUUUUUUUUUUUAGUUUAACCAAUCCCAUUAUAUCUUAAUCAAUCAAUUAAAUUUUAUUUAAAAAGUUAGAUUAGCAAUCCACAUUUUAUUAUAACAGUUUUUUCGUAUAUAUAUAUAUAUAUAUAUAUAUAUAUAUAUGUUAAACCCGUCUAAAAUUAUUAAAAAUCAAAUAUAAUUCAUAAUAUUAUAAUAAAUUUUAUUUUUAUAAAAAAUAUUUUUAAAAUACUCCCUCUUAACACACAUAAAAUUAUUGGAUAUUGAAUCUUAUUCCUAUAAAGUGAUUAAAGUGAAGUACAUGAAGUAAUUUUACUAAAUAGAAAGUGACAUGAAAUUGACAAACAGACUAAAACCACAAAAAGGACAUGACAUUGGAGCCUUGAUUUUUUUUUUUUUUUUAAUUUAACCAAUCCCAUUAUAUCUUAAUCAAUCAAUUAAAUUUUAUUUAAAAAGUUAGAUUAGCAAUCCACAUUUUAUUAUAACAGUUUUUUCGUAUAUAUAUAUGUUAAACCCGUCUAGAAUUAUUAAAAAACUAAGUUAGUGCGUUUUUAAUGUAUACAAAAUGAAUGAAAUAAAUACCAAUUGAGCUUAUAGCUCUAACAAAACACAAAAACUUGGAUGCAACUAGUUGCAUGGUGCAAUCGAGUUGCAACAGACCCAACUCAGCUCCGAUUUGUGUCUGACCCGAUCCAAAUUAUAUAUAUAAAAAAAAUCCCUUUUUUGACUUUUUUGUUGGAAGGAGACGGUUUUCUUGAUGGGAGAAAAGAGGUCGUUUUGUUUUGUUGGAGCCAUUUCUUGGAGGACAUGUCGGCGAAGAGAGUCCGGAGUAUGGAUCCGGCCUUGCUGUGUGCCUGGACGUCAAGGCAAUGCUAGUAGCUGCCGUGACUCCCUCACCCCUACUCCGUGUCGAUUAUACUUCGUUGAGACGACGGCCAGAGUUCGAUGCGGAUGCCGAAGAGAAGCUAUUUUCUAAUGUUACGGAGCCCGGGACGACAACAUUCUCCCCGCCUACCACAAGUUCGGGUUUCGUUGGAGCUUAGUUUGAUGGUUGUAUUUCUGGAUCUCAUCGUGUAGUGUAGUUUAACUUAUCUUUGCUUUUUUGUUUGAAUUUUUCUAGUUUUCUGUGAGAAAUUGGCAUAGUGAACAAAGGCUCUUAUUAGUGUUGGAUUUAAUUGUAUACUGAAAGUAUGAACUUUUAUACUUGUAUACAAUGAUUCAUGAGUUCACUAUC